ACUUAUUAGCUUAUUCUUCCAGAAACCAAAAUGCUACCCCAUGUCCUUUUCUUCUUCUUUCUCUUGGAUAGAGUACUAGGCGUGGCACGACUGCAGCGAUUCGUUGAUAUUAGAGGUACAUAUUUUGCAAGUAAGAAACUUGUUUAGACUUUAGAACUGGAAUGAGUUCUCUAACUGGAUCUAACUCUUUGCUGUUUAAAUACUACGACAUAGAAACUUAACAGCUGCAUCCAUGCAAGGAAAACAACUAUUUAGGCUUACUAUAUGUUUAGCUCCAGGUCUCAAAUGGGGAGGAUUGGCCUUCCAUACCUAUAAAGCAUGGCAGGUAUAGGAGCCAGUCGGCUAUGAGGUUAUUGCUUCGCAAUAAAGAAGACAAAACAUCGAAAAGCAUAAACGCACUGGUCUACAAGGUUCGUUUAACACCUUGACAAGUGUACCGGCAAAUACCAGAUCAGAGAAUUCCACCAUACGAUUAUAUUAUUAACCAGUAGAAUACAUGUGCCA
rnacentral:misc_RNA from 1 species